UACGUAGGGGGCAAGCGUUGUCCGGAAUCAUUGGGCGUAAAGAGCUCGUAGGCGGUUGAGUAAGUCGGGUGUGAAAACUCUGGGCUUAACCCAGAGCCGCCACUCGAUACUGCUCUGACUUGAGUUCGGUAGGGGAGCAGGGAAUUCCUAGUGUAGCGGUGAAAUGCGCAGAUAUUAGGAGGAACACCGGUGGCGAAGGCGCUGCUCUGGGCCGAAACUGACGCUGAGGAGCGAAAGCGUGGGUAGCAAACAGG
rnacentral:rRNA from 1 species